CGGCUACAACAUGUUGAAACACCGGUACCCGUACGUUCAUCGAAGUUAAGCAGCAUCUAGAUUGAUCUGUACUUUGAGGGGUGACCGCUUAGAAAUAACUGGUGUUGUAA